rnacentral:rRNA from 1 species
CCAAUCAAACCGGGAGAUAGCUGGUUCUCCCCGAAAGCUAUUUAGGUAGCGCCUCGUGAAUUCAUCUCCGGGGGUAGAGCACUGUUUCGGCAAGGGGGUCAUCCCGACUUACCAACCCGAUGCAAACUGCGAAUACCGGAGAAUGUUAUCACGGGAGACACACGGCGGGUGCUAACGUCCGUCGUGAAGAGGGAAACAACCCAGACCGCCAGCUAAGGUCCCAAAGUCAUGGUUAAGUGGGAAACGAUGUGGGAAGGCCCAGACAGCCAGGAUGUUGGCUUAGAAGCAGCCAUCAUUUAAAGAAAGCGUAAUAGCUCACUGGUCGAGUCGGCCUGCGCGGAAGAUGUAACGGGGCUAAACCAUGCACCGAAGCUGCGGCAGCGACGCUGAUGCGUUGUUGGGUAGGGGAGCGUUCUGUAAGCCUGUGAAGGUGUGCUGUGAGGCAUGCUGGAGGUAUCAGAAGUGCGAAUGCUGACAUAAGUAACGAUAAAGCGGGUGAAAAGCCCGCUCGCCGGAAGACCAAGGGUUCCUGUCCAACGUUAAUCGGGGCAGGGUGAGUCGACCCCUAAGGCGAGGCCGAAAGGCGUAGUCGAUGGGAAACAGGUUAAUAUUCCUGUACUUGGUGUUACUGCGAAGGGGGGACGGAGAAGGCUAUGUUGGCCGGGCGACGGUUGUCCCGGUUUAAGCGUGUAGGCUGGUUUUCCAGGCAAAUCCGGAAAAUCAAGGCUGAGGCGUGAUGACGAGGCACUACGGUGCUGAAGCAACAAAUGCCCUGCUUCCAGGAAAAGCCUCUAAGCAUCAGGUAACAUCAAAUCGUACCCCAAACCGACACAGGUGGUCAGGUAGAGAAUACCAAGGCGCUUGAGAGAACUCGGGUGAAGGAACUAGGCAAAAUGGUGCCGUAACUUCGGGAGAAGGCACGCUGAUAUGUAGGUGAAGCGACUUGCUCGUGGAGCUGAAAUCAGUCGAAGAUACCAGCUGGCUGCAACUGUUUAUUAAAAACACAGCACUGUGCAAACACGAAAGUGGACGUAUACGGUGUGACGCCUGCCCGGUGCCGGAAGGUUAAUUGAUGGGGUCAGCGCAAGCGAAGCUCUUGAUCGAAGCCCCGGUAAACGGCGGCCGUAACUAUAACGGUCCUAAGGUAGCGAAAUUCCUUGUCGGGUAAGUUCCGACCUGCACGAAUGGCGUAAUGAUGGCCAGGCUGUCUCCACCCGAGACUCAGUGAAAUUGAACUCGCUGUGAAGAUGCAGUGUACCCGCGGCAAGACGGAAAGACCCCGUGAACCUUUACUAUAGCUUGACACUGAACAUUGAGCCUUGAUGUGUAGGAUAGGUGGGAGGCUUUGAAGUGUGG